UACGAAGGGGGCUAGCGUUGCUCGGAAUCACUGGGCGUAAAGGGUGCGUAGGCGGGUUUUAAGUCGGUGGUGAAAUCCUGGAGCUCAACUCCAGAACUGCCUUCGAUACUGAGAGUCUCGAGUCCGGGAGAGGUGAGUGGAACUGCGAGUGUAGAGGUGAAAUUCGUAGAUAUUCGCAAGAACACCAGUGGCGAAGGCGGCUCACUGGCCCGGUACUGACGCUGAGGUGCGAAAGCGUGGGGAGCAAACAGG
rnacentral:rRNA from 1 species